rnacentral:rRNA from 1 species
UACGGGGGGGGCAAGCGUUGUUCGGAAUUACUGGGCGUAAAGGGCGCGUAGGCGGCCUACUAAGUCGGACGUGAAAUCCCUGGGCUCAACCCAGGAACUGCGUCCGAUACUGGUUGGCUUGAAUCCGGGAGAGGGAUGUGGAAUUCCAGGUGUAGCGGUGAAAUGCGUAGAUAUCUGGAGGAACACCGGUGGCGAAGGCGACAUCCUGGACCGGUAUUGACGCUGAGGCGCGAAAGCCAGGGGAGCAAACGGG